rnacentral:rRNA from 1 species
UGAAAGGAAGUGGCGGGCUCGCUACAACUCCGAGCGUAGUAACUCACUGUCUCGCUAGGGAGGUUGCGGCGCGCUCCUGCCGUUAAAGACCACAUCUUUAACCAAGGUUGACCUCGGAUCAGGUAGGAAUACCCGCUGAACUUAAGCAUAUCAAUAAGCGGAGGAAAAGAAACCAACAGGGAUUGCCCUAGUAACGGCGAGUGAAGCGGCAACAGCUCAAAUUUGAAAUCUGGCUUCGGCCCGAGUUGUAAUUUGUAGAGGAUGCUUUUGGCGAGGUGCCUUCUGAGUUCCCUGGAACGGGACGCCAGAGAGGGUGAGAGCCCCGUAUAGUCGGACACCUAGCCUCUGUAAAGCUCCUUCGACGAGUCGAGUAGUUUGGGAAUGCUGCUCAAAAUGGGAGGUAUAUCUCUUCUAAAGCUAAAUAUAGGCCAGAGACCGAUAGCGCACAAGUAGAGUGAUCGAAAGAUGAAAAGCACUUUGAAAAGAGGGUUAAAUAGCACGUGAAAUUGUUGAAAGGGAAGCGCUUGUGACCAGACUUGUGCCGGGCUGAUCAUCCAGUGUUCUCACUGGUGCACUCGACCCGGCUCAGGCCAGCGUCGGUUCUCGCGGGGGGAUAAAAGCUCCGGGAACGUGGCUCCUCCGGGAGUGUUAUAGCCCGUUGUUUAAUACCCUCG